GAUGAGGUGUAAAAAGAGAAUACAUUUCUUUAUCCACCCUUGGACUGUAUUUGUGACUAAAGUAAAUGUCCAAUAGCAUUAAAAUAAAAUAUAUAAUAAGUGCUUAGAAGGUCAAGGACAAAGGGCAAAUAACCGUGAAACAUGGCCACCAUUUCCUUUGGGACUUCUGUGCCUAGGGCGAAAAAAAAAAAAGAAUUGAUUGUGAAAGGCAGACCACUUCAGAUCUUAAGGAAGUCUGAGUAGGAAGAUCAGUGUUGCCUAGAACAUUCUAGGAAGCUCGCUUUCCUGAAAGGCCGUAUAAUCAACAUGAUGACACAUCAGGCGUAUGAUGUGUAAUGCUUUGCUGAAUAAAAAUUUCAAGGGGCACCUGGCUGGCUCUGUCAUAAGAGCAUGCAAUGCUUGAUCUUGGGAUUGUGAGUUUGAGCCCCACGCUGGGUGUAGAGAUUACUUUAAAAUUAAAAAAAAAAAAAGAGAGAGAGAGAGAGAAUUUCACAAUUUUUUUUUUUUUUUUUUUUUUUACUUUUGGUUAGUGGGAAAGCAAACUCUUAUGACUAGUGAGUAUUGAAUCUAAAAUUGGUAUCUGUUUGAAAAUCAAAGGUUCACAAAGUUUAAAAUUUCACAUAGAACAAUGUGUGUUCACUUUGUAAGCUGCCCAGGAAUUAAUUUGAAUGUGUGAAAUUUAUUUACAUUCAAUUAUUCGUUUUUAUUAAACAUUUUUUUAAAUUUUUACUUAUUUUUGAGAGAGAGAUGGAGCAUGCAAGAGUCAGCGGGGCAGAAAGAGAGGGGGGGACAGAGAGUCCAAAACAGGCUCUGCGCUGACAGCAAUGAGCCCAACGCGAGGUUUGAACUCAUGAACCACGAGAUCAUGACCUGAGCUGAGUUGGCUGCUUAACCAACUGAGCCAUCCAGGUGCCCCUAUUUGCAUUAAAUUAUAACGUAGGUGUCUGGUUGGCUCAGUCAGUAGAGCAUGCAACUCUUGAUCUCAGAGCUGUGAGUCUGAGCCCCCACAUGGGGGGCAGAAUUUACCUAAAAAAAAAAAAAAAAAAAAAAUUUUAGGGGCACCUGGGUGGCUUAGUCAGUUCAGUGUCAUGAUCCCGGGGUUGUGGGAUCUAGCUCCACUUCGGGCUCCGUGCGGAGGGUGGAGCCUGCUUAAGAUUCUCGCUCUCUCCCUCCCUCGGCUCCCUCCCCC